GACGAACGCUGGCGGCGUGCUUAACACAUGCAAGUCGAACGGAAAGGCCCUGCUUUUGUGGGGUGCUCGAGUGGCGAACGGGUGAGUAACACGUGAGUAACCUGCCCUUGACUUUGGGAUAACUUCAGGAAACUGGGGCUAAUACCGGAUAGGAGCUCCUGCUGCAUGGUGGGGGUUGGAAAGUUUCGGCGGUUGGGGAUAGACUCGCGGCUUAUCAGCUUGUUGGUGGGGUAGUGGCUUACCAAGGCUUAGACGGGUAGGCGGCCUGAGAGGGUGACCGGGCACAUUGGGACUGCGGUACGGCGCAGACGCCUACGGGAGGCAGCAGGGGGGAACAUUGCACAGUGGGCGGAAGUCUGAUGCAGCAACGCCGCGUGCGGGAUGACGGCCUUCGGGUUGUAAACCGCUUUCGCCUGUGACGAAGCGUGAGUGACGGUAAUGGGUAAAGAAGCACCGGCUAACUACGUG
rnacentral:rRNA from 1 species